rnacentral:rRNA from 1 species
UACGAAGGGGGCUAGCGUUGUUCGGAAUUACUGGGCGUAAAGCGCACGUAGGCGGACCAGUUAGUUGGGGGUGAAAUCCCGGGGCUCAACCCCGGAACUGCCUCCAAAACUGCUGGUCUGGAGGUCGAGAGAGGUGAGUGGAAUUCCGAGUGUAGAGGUGAAAUUCGUAGAUAUUCGGAGGAACACCAGUGGCGAAGGCGGCUCACUGGCUCGAUACUGACGCUGAGGUGCGAAAGCGUGGGGAGCAAACAGG